rnacentral:rRNA from 2 species
CAUCAUGAUUUACAUUUGAGUGAGUGGCGAACUGGUGAGUAACACGUGGGAAACCUGCCCAGAAGCGGGGGAUAACACCUGGAAACAGAUGCUAAUACCGCAUAACAACUUGGACCGCAUGGUCCGAGCUUGAAAGAUGGCUUCGGCUAUCACUUUUGGAUGGUCCCGCGGCGUAUUAGCUAGAUGGUGGGGUAACGGCUCACCAUGGCAAUGAUACGUAGCCGACCUGAGAGGGUAAUCGGCCACAUUGGGACUGAGACACGGCCCAAACUCCUACGGGAGGCAGCAGUAGGGAAUCUUCCACAAUGGACGAAAGUCUGAUGGAGCAACGCCGCGUGAGUGAAGAAGGGUUUCGGCUCGUAAAACUCUGUUGUUAAAGAAGAACAUAUCUGAGAGUAACUGUUCAGGUAUUGACGGUAUUUAACCAGAAAGCCACGGCUAACUACGUGCCAGCAGCCGCGGUAAUACGUAGGUGGCAAGCGUUGUCCGGAUUUAUUGGGCGUAAAGCGAGCGCAGGCGGUUUUUUAAGUCUGAUGUGAAAGCCUUCGGCUCAACCGAAGAAGUGCAUCGGAAACUGGGAAACUUGAGUGCAGAAGAGGACAGUGGAACUCCAUGUGUAGCGGUGAAAUGCGUAGAUAUAUGGAAGAACACCAGUGGCGAAGGCGGCUGUCUGGUCUGUAACUGACGCUGAGGCUCGAAAGUAUGGGUAGCAAACAGGAUUAGAUACCCUGGUAGUCCAUACCGUAAACGAUGAAUGCUAAGUGUUGGAGGGUUUCCGCCCUUCAGUGCUGCAGCUAACGCAUUAAGCAUUCCGCCUGGGGAGUACGGCCGCAAGGCUGAAACUCAAAGGAAUUGACGGGGGCCCGCACAAGCGGUGGAGCAUGUGGUUUAAUUCGAAGCUACGCGAAGAACCUUACCAGGUCUUGACAUACUAUGCAAAUCUAAGAGAUUAGACGUUCCCUUCGGGGACAUGGAUACAGGUGGUGCAUGGUUGUCGUCAGCUCGUGUCGUGAGAUGUUGGGUUAAGUCCCGCAACGAGCGCAACCCUUAUUAUCAGUUGCCAGCAUUAAGUUGGGCACUCUGGUGAGACUGCCGGUGACAAACCGGAGGAAGGUGGGGAUGACGUCAAAUCAUCAUGCCCCUUAUGACCUGGGCUACACACGUGCUACAAUGGAUGGUACAACGAGUUGCGAACUCGCGAGAGUAAGCUAAUCUCUUAAAGCCAUUCUCAGUUCGGAUUGUAGGCUGCAACUCGCCUACAUGAAGUCGGAAUCGCUAGUAAUCGCGGAUCAGCAUGCCGCGGUGAAUACGUUCCCGGGCCUUGUACACACCGCCCGUCACACCAUGAGAGUUUGUAACACCCAAAGUCG